rnacentral:misc_RNA from 1 species
GAAAAAAUAAUACAGAAGCGGAUUGUCUCAGCAGAAACCCAGUAUUGGACAUUAAUGCAAAUAAUGAAGAUAACUUAAAAACGAUGGAGUUUAUUAUAAAAAAGGAGGGAAAAAGAGGAAAAAAAUAAUUCUAAGUGAAGAUUACAGUAAAACCAUAAUAAAAAAGACGCAUGAAAAAUAUUGUCAUACUGGAAUAAAUCAAACAGAAUCUAAAAUAAAACCCUUUUAUACUGCACCGAAUCUAUCAGAAAA